rnacentral:rRNA from 1 species
GAUGAACGCUGGCGGCGUGCUUAACACAUGCAAGUCGAACGAUGAAGCCCAGCUUGCUGGGUGGAUUAGUGGCGAACGGGUGAGUAACACGUGAGCAACCUGCCCCUGACUCUGGGAUAAGCGCUGGAAACGGCGUCUAAUACUGGAUAUGUCCCGUCACCGCAUGGUGUGCGGGUGGAAAGAUUUUUCGGUUGGGGAUGGGCUCGCGGCCUAUCAGCUUGUUGGUGAGGUAAUGGCUCACCAAGGCGUCGACGGGUAGCCGGCCUGAGAGGGUGACCGGCCACACUGGGACUGAGACACGGCCCAGACUCCUACGGGAGGCAGCAGUGGGGAAUAUUGCACAAUGGGCGGAAGCCUGAUGCGGCAACGCCGCGUGAGGGAUGACGGCCUUCGGGUUGUAAACCUCUUUUAGCAGGGAAGAAGCGAAAGUGACGGUACCUGCAGAAAAAGCACCGGCUAACUACGUG